ensembl:lncRNA
AUGGCACAGAAGGUUCCAGAAGGGGGGGGGCUGUGUCCGGUGCCCCCCCCCCGGAGCAGUGGAAAAUCAAACAGGGCCCAUAGGAACAGGAAUGGGGGGGGCCAUAAAGCGCAGGGAAGCGUCAGGAUCCUGUUUGCUCUAGGGCGGGGGGGCCAUGGGGGGGCCGCAUCCAGACCCCCCCCCCAUCCGCUACCCGGGCUGAGCCAUCCGGUGACCUUUGGAAGCAGCUGUUUGCUGUUCCCGGUGGGAAUGGGGCAGGAAGCGCUUGGCUAUGGGGGGGGGCACCACAUCCUGAUCCCCCCCCCCCGGGUUUGGGGCCAUCGGUGCCGGGGGGGGAUGUGGGGCGGGGGGUGCCCCCCCCCCCCGGGUCACAACACAGGGAGCGGGGUCCGUGUGUCCUCAGCCUGGUUGUGCGGUGCCGGAUCCCAUGGGCUGUGCGCGGUCAUGGCAUCCAUGUGGGUGCUGCAUCCCACGGCCCUGUAUCCCUGUAUCCCUUUAUCCCUGUGCUAUGGUUGUGUCCUGUAUCCCUGUAUCCCUGUACUAUGCUUGUGUCCUGUAUCCCUGUAUCCCUGUAUCCCUGUGCUAUGGUUGUGUCCUGUAUCCCUGUAUCCCUGUGCUAUGGUUGUAUCCUGUAUCCCUGUAUCCCUGUAUCCCUGUGCUAUGGUUGUAUCCUGUAUCCCUGUAUCCCUGUGCUAUGGUUGUGUCCUGUAUCCCUGUACCCCUGUGCUAUGGUUGUCCUGUAUCCCUGUAUUCCUGUAUCCCUGUGCUAUGGUUGUGUCCUGUAUCCCUGUAUCCCUGUAUCCCUGUAUCCCUGUGCUAUGGUUGUGUCCUGUAUCCCUGUAUCCCUGUAUCCCUGUGCUAUGGUUGUGUCCUGUAUCCCUGUAUCCCUGUGCUAUGGUUGUGUCCUGUAUCCCUGUACCCCUGUGCUAUGGUUGUCCUGUAUCCCUGUAUCCCUGUGCUAUGGUUGUGUCCUGUAUCCCUGUAUCCCUGUAUCCCUGUGCUAUGGUUGUGUCCUGUAUCCCUGUAUCCCUUUAUCCCUGUGCUAUGGUUGUGUCCUGUAUCCUGUAUCCCUGUAUCCCUGUGCCACUGCUGUAUCCUGUAUCCCUGUGCUAUGGUUGUGUCCUGUAUCCUGUAUCCCUGUGCUAUGGUUGUGUCCUGUAUCCCUGUGCUAUGGUUGUGUCCUGUAUCCCUGUAUCCCUGUGCUAUGGUUGUGUCCUGUAUCCUGUAUCCCUGUAUCCCUGUGCUAUGGUUGUGUCCUGUAUCCCUGUAUCCCUGUAUCCCUGUAUCCCUGUGCUAUGGUUGUGUCCUGUAUCCUGUAUCCCUGUAUCCCUGUGCUAUGGUUGUGUCCUGUAUCCCUGUAUCCCUGUAUCCCUGUAUCCCUGUAUCCCUGUGCUAUGGUUGUGUCCUGUAUCCUGUAUCCCUGUAUCCCUGUGCCGUGCAUGCAUCCCAUACCCAUGCCCUGUGUCCCGUGGCUCUGUCCCAUCCCCACCCGUGUCCACGUCCCUGCUGUGCCCCAUCGGUGUCCAUGGCCCAUGUGCCCCAUGUGGUGCCCAUGGCCCCACUGUGCCCCAUUUGUGCCCCUAUCCCCUCUGUGCCCCAUCCGUGUCCAUGGCCCAUGUGCCCCAUGCGGUGCCCAUGGCCCCACUGUGCCCCAUCUGUGCCCCUAUCCCCUCUGUGCCCCAUCCAUGCCCUUGUCCCCGCUGUGCCCCAUACGGUGCCCAUGGCCCAUGUGCCCCAUCCAUGUCCAUGUCCCCACUGUUCCCCCAUGCCCAUGUCCCUGCUGUGCCCCAUCCAUGUCCCUGCUGUGCCCCAUCUGUGCCCAUGUCCCUGCUGUGCCCCAUAUGGUGUCCAUGCCCCCGCUGUGCCCCAUGCGGUGCCCAUGGCUCAUGUGCCCCAUCCAUGCCCCCUCUGUGUCCCUCUGUGCCCCCUCCCUGCCCUGCCCCCGCAGUGCCCCCGUGCUCUGCUCCUGCC